rnacentral:lncRNA from 1 species
CAAACCUGAGGCCGCCAGGGGUAGGGUGGAGGGGGCGGGGAGUUGCAUGCUGAGAAUUUGAAAAAUGAAGAUGAUGUAGACACUGGACUAUUAGGAUUCUGGACUCUACUUAUAAUAUCCCUAACUGCUGGAUUCUCCUGUUGCAGCUUUUCUUGGACAGUGACUUACUUUGAUUCUUUUGAACCAGGAAUGUUUCCUCCUACUCCUCUUUCACCUGCCAGGUUCAAGAAACUGACUGGACAUUCUUUCCACAUGGGCUAUAGCAUGGCGAUUUUGAAUGGCAUCGUAGCUGCUCUUACUGUAGCAUGGUGCCUCAUGUAAACCCACACUGGAGCGAUAUUGUUGGCAAAACUUAAUCAUGAUUGUUUUGUAAUAACAAGAAGGAGCAUCACUGUCUACUCAGAAGACUGAGAAACCUGCUGUUCAUUAUGUAGUUCAGAUAUUUAUCACAAUCAUCCUCAUUAUGGAAGACCUUUUAAAGCAUUGUUUUAGAAUGUCUGAGUAUUAAGAUACAGAUUAAUUGGGAAUAUCUGAGUAUUAAGUACUUUCUUCAGAGUAUAAGAUGUUUACCUCAUCUUUUUACUUUUGUGUGUGUAGUUCUUUCAAGUUGUAGGAAACAUUUUAAUGGAAUUUAAACUCAAAAACUUGAAUACAGGACAAUGCUUGCCUUUUCAUGUAUGUACUACAUUUUUUGCUAAGAAAUACUGAUAUUUCUGUUUAGUUGAGCUAGAAAUACUUCUUAUUUAUACAUUUAGGAAAGCAAAUAAUGCCUACUACUCCGACUUUUAUAGAAGCUACUUUUAAAUCAGAAUAUUUAAUUUUUGAUAUUCAUAUAAUUAAUAGAAGUUGCAUUUAUAUUUUUUAUGGGGCAUAGUUCCUUAUGUGUUUUUUUAAUGUAUUUUCAUACUACAUACUGAAUUUGUAUGUUUUUAAAAUUGUUACAUCUAGACAACUGUAAACAUUAUUUUUUUAGCUAGUGCAAACCUAGUACCUGCCAUUUUUACUAAUUUUUGUCUUUAAAAAAAGCAAAAAAGCACAUUGACCUAAGUUGAAAAUUAAGUAAGUUUAUUUUUAAC